rnacentral:rRNA from 1 species
GACGUAGGUGGCGAACGUUAUCCGGAAUUAUUGGGCGUAAAGGGUGCGUAGAUGGUGUAGUAAGUUAUCGGUGGCAAAUCGAGGCUCAACCUCGUGGAAGUCGGUAAUACUGCUAUGCUAGAGGAUAGGAGAGGUUAACGGAACUCCCUGUGGAGCGGUGAAAUGCGUAGAUAUUCGGAAGAACACCAGUGGCGAAGGCGACUUACUGGACACAUAUUGACGCUGAGGUGCGAAAGCGUGGGGAGCAAACAGG